rnacentral:rRNA from 1 species
UAUCUCUGUAGAGUCUGCAUAUCAAUAAGCGGAGGAAAAGAAACUAACAAGGAUUCCCCUAGUAACGGCGAGUGAAGCGGGAAGAGCUCAAAUUUGAAAUCUUCAAGGGUUUCUACCUUGACGAAUUGUAGUUUAAAGAAGUGUUUUCUGUUGGAGUUUCGGUAAAAGUUCUUUGGAAUAGGACAUCAUAGAGGGUGAGAAUCCCGUAUUUGACCGUUACUUUCCAGCUGUGUGAUACACUUUCAAAGAGUCGGAUUGUUUGGGAAUGCAGUCCAAAAUGGGUGGUAAAUUUCAUCUAAAGCUAAAUAUUGGCGAGAGACCGAUAGCGAACAAGUACCGUGAGGGAAAGAUGAAAAGAACUUUGAAAAGAGAGUUAAACAGUACGUGAAAUUGUCAAAAGGGAAGCGUUUGACACCAGUGUUGUUUUCUCGAAAAUCAAUUAAAAAUAACUUUGAUUUUGUGUUGUAUUGACCUUAAAAGCUUUCUUCACUUUUUUCUUGUUAUUUUUAAUGCACUUUUCGUUUAACAAGUCAACAUCAGUUUCUUUUGUUGUAAAAAGGUCAUUGGAAGGUGGCUUUCUUUUCGGAGAAAGUGUUUAUAGCCUUUGACUCCUGCAAUCGGAGAGACUGAGGUCUGCAGCGUAGAUCCUUUUUUGGAUUAGAUUCAUUUGUGCUAAGUUAUAGCUCUUUAUAGACAACAUGUUGACUAUAUUUAGUCUUGUAGCUUACUCGCUUAUGUAAUUUUACCUACGCUUAGGAUGUUGAACGCGCACAGAGUCUC